GAGAGUUGAAAAUGAUCAAAUGUAGUGUUCUGAAAUGUGUACUAGUGACUUCAAAGUGAUUAAGUGUAGUCGCUUGAGAAGUGGAUUAGCGACUAGAAAAUGGUUUAGUAUAGUUACUUAAAAGGUGAACUUGUGUUUUGAAAUUAGUAAAGUGUAAUCACUUGAAAGUGUGAAUUCAUGACUUGAAAUUGAUUUAGUGUUGUCACUUGAAAUGUGAAUUCAUGACUUGAAAAUGGUUAAAUUUAGUCACAUGAAAAGUGAAUUAGAGAGUUGAAAAUAGUUAAGUGUAGUGUUUUGAAAUGUGUACUAGUGACUUCAAAUUGAUCAAGUGUGUAGUCACUUAAAAUGUGAAUUAGAGAG
rnacentral:lncRNA from 1 species